UACGUAGGGCGCAAGCGUUGUUCGGAAUUACUGGGCGUAAAGAGUGUGUAGGCGGUGCUCUAAGUUCGGUGUGAAAUCUCCCGGCUCAACUGGGAGGGUGCGCCGGAAACUGGAAUGCUUGAGCGUGGGAGAGGAAAGCGGAAUUCCUGGUGUAGCGGUGAAAUGCGUAGAUAUCAGGAGGAACACCGGUGGCGAAGGCGGAUCUCUGGGCCUUACCUGACGCUGAGGCGCGAAAGCUAGGGGAGCGAACGGG
rnacentral:rRNA from 1 species